rnacentral:rRNA from 1 species
UUUGUCCUACGGGGGGCAGCAGUGGGGAAUAUUGCACAAUGGGGGGAACCCUGAUGCAGCGACGCCGCGUGAGUGAAGAAGUAUUUCGGUAUGUAAAGCUCUAUCAGCAGGGAAGAAAAUGACGGUACCUGAGUAAGAAGCACCGGCUAAAUACGUGCCAGCAGCCGCGGUAAUACGUAUGGUGCAAGCGUUAUCCGGAUUUACUGGGUGUAAAGGGAGCGCAGGCGGCACGGCAAGCCUGAUGUGAAAGCCCGCGGCCCAACCGCGGGACUGCAUUGGGAACUACCGGGCUGGAGUGCCGGAGG